GAGGCACUUAUUAAUAGCAUAGGAGAGACUCGACCCCGAUUUCUUUCUAACCCCAAUAAUGAUGGUCUUGUGAACUCAAUUGAUUUGGACAUAGUGGAAUAUGAAAAGCAAGAAUCGGAUCAACAUCACAUUCCCAAUAUGAACUAACUUUUGAUGAUCCACGCUAUUCCAUGUUAGAAAAUCCAUUUUCCUAUGAUAAAAAUAUAGUCCAAUGCACUUUAUUCUAUGGUAUGACCACGAUGCUUCUUUUUCGGGGAAGGCUCGAGUUCUGACAUAUUUGGAGACUUCUGCAAAUCAACUCAAGUAGGUUCUGAGAAAACACUGCGAAAAACGAUGGCCUUUGGAUAAAGGAGGGGUGAUGAACGGCAAAUUAAGGAGGAUUUGAACAUCAAGUCGUCAUGAUGCCAUCGGUUUCCGCGGCUUACUACACUUCUUUGCAUAUACAGAUCAAUCAUAUAUAAUGGACUAAUUAAGACCACAAACUAAUUAUUCCUCCAUACACCACAUUCUCCAAAUUCUAAUAUCACUGGCAUAAACCUUAACAAACAAAACGAUAGAUUAGACACAAAUGAGGAAAUUUUUGACGAUCAAUUCGAAUCAGACUGUGGUAAACUGAAGGCUUGCCCACUAUGCAAGCUGGGAACUGGUCUGGAUAGAGGCACAAACAGCACAGCGAACGAAGUGCCGCUUGCGCCAAGUCCUUGUUGAUAUUUCACAUAAUUUCCCGACAGGCAAGGGUUGCAAUCAAAUCAUCUCACUCAAAAGGGACGAGUUAUAAGGACAUUCAAAACAUACUCACGAGAAACGAAGAAUCAAACCAAACACAAAGAGUUCUAAUUCGGUUUAAAUCACACAAGAAGUCAUCCCAUGUCCUCAAUUUAGGUUGCAAAUGCACUUAGGGGUAAGUUCUCGGACCAAAUCACAAGUAACGCCUUAUGCAAAUGAAUUGAUCAAAUAGCAGCCAGCUUUGUCGAGCAACUUGAAGAACUCUGACUAGCGACGCACACGGCAAUGAAAGCUCACCGAUUACUCUCCCUGCCACUCUCUAUUGUUUGCUCUCUGUUUUCUGUCGGACUCCUUGAACCGAGGAUAGAUCAAGAAGAAGAAAAAUCCAACCGUCUCUUUCUCCCUCUCUGUUCUUUCGUUUUCUAUUUUCCUUUUGUGAGCCCUCCUUCUAGACAUCACAUGCGCCUAACGCUCUCCUCUUCUCUCUCUUUCCCCCCGUCCUCUCUGUUUUCUCUCCUUUGGUUACCUUUUUCUUUUCCUUUCCACUUUGCCCUUAUGGCGUCCUCUUCCCGCUUAUGUUUUUCUUAUCCGCCGAAUC
rnacentral:lncRNA from 1 species